rnacentral:rRNA from 1 species
AAACAUGGCUCUUUGAGAUUUAUAUAUAAAGAGUCGGGCCUGCCCAGUGAUGUAUUUUUAACGGCCGCGGUACUCUGACCGUGCGAAGGUAGCAUAAUCAUUUGCCCUAUAAUUGAGGGCUAGUAUGAAUGGUUUGACAUGAGCAUAACUGUCUCCUUAAAAUUUUAUAAAAUUUGGUUUUUAGGUGAAGAAACCUAAAUUAAAUUGAAAGACAAGAAGACCCUAUCGAGCUUUAGAAUAAUUAGUUAAAAAAUAUAAAUAAAACAAUUAAUUUUAAUUAAAAACUUUGGUUGGGGCGACUGAGGAACAUAUAAAGCUUCCUUAAUUAAACAAUGCUGAUAAGCAAUGAUCCAGGAAAUCUGAUUAAAAAAAUUAGUUACCGUAGGGAUAACAGCAUAAUCUUUUUUGAGAGCUCUUAUCGAAAAAAAGGUUUGUGACCUCGAUGUUGGACUAGGAUAUCCUAAAGAUGUAGAAGUCUUUAAUGGUUGCUCUGUUCGAGCAUAAAAAUCCUACGUGAU